rnacentral:lncRNA from 1 species
GCCACCUCAGGGGAAGCAACAGAUCGUCACUCGGUGUUCUCACCGAAAGCACGUAAUCGCCGGUGUAACUCAUGUUGGCUGGGGGGCCUCCCGGCGCGCGGCGAGGCUGGGGUGCGUCCCAUGCCACUCGCUUGUGCUCAGCUGCACGGUCCUGGCCCUCAAGUGCGCCGAGGGCGGUGAGAGAGCUCAACUCCUGCCACCCAUCACUCCCCGGGUGAGGGAUGCCCCAGGCUGGGGGUGGCCGGGUGGGAGCUCGUCGCUGCGUGGCCCGUGCGCGGUCCUGGAAUCUAUUCUCCUGGAGGCUCGCGUUCGCACCUCCUUCUUCGCUAUCCCCCUCCCACAGGCUUGCUCUGGAAACCACCUCUGCCUCCGACUAGGGCCGGACCCCCUUCGGGGCCAGGGUUCGCAGCCGUGGAUGUGCCUGCCUCGUGGCUUGCCCGAUUUGCACGGUGACUUGAUUACACGCUCGCAUUCAUGGUCACUUCCGAAGCGCUUUAGUGCCUUCCGUCCCUAAACCGCCAACAACCAGGGCGGCUUCCCCCGCGGUUUGUCAGGCAUCUGCAGGUCCCGGAAGGGCCUUCGUCUUACCCGGGAUCCACCUCCACUUCAUUCUCCCCGCCGGCCUCCUCACUCCACCCCCUGCCCUUGGAGAACCCCCCACCCCCUCCUCCCCGCUGCCUGCCGGGGUUCGGAGUCGCCCGGCAGAGCCGGAGGCUGUGGGGGCUGCGCCACGGUGCACGGGUCCGCCCGCCUGCCUGGUCUCAUGGAGCUGAGGACCCGGGAAGCCGUGCGGUUGAGGCGAGCCUUGGGCUGCUUUAGGGGCGCUGACAGCCGAGGAGCGUUUUCCUGGGUAUGCUGCACCUUCCGCGGGCUCAGCAGGCUGCCAGCGGAGCUUCAGAGCUGAGUGGGGGCAGUGAGGAGACGGCUAGGGACAGGGAGCCGUGGCUGAGAAAAGGGUAACAUGCUUCCUCUCCUUCCUGGCGAAGCGUGAGAGCCAGUGAUGUGCAGGGAGAAACUCAGAAGGCUCGGCGCCUUUUCUGCUACUCAUCCCACAGAAGAAACACAAUGCCAGAGGAAAGAGCGCUGCUUCCCAAACUCGCGGGACCGGGGGUGACAAGAACGCCUCGGAAAGGCUAGAUUUGAGCCCAAGGUAGAGACAGGGGCCAUAGCUGCUAGUAGGAGUCUUAGCUUUCUUGGGAAAAAGAAAGAAAAAAAUUAAGAUGGUGAAAAAUGCUUGCCAUCCUGCAGGAUUGAAUUAUCAACGUUUGGGAGAAGUGAAAGAGGGCAUAGGGCUGCCAGGCAGGACCACAGCUGGGAGGGGCCCAGCCCUGGGGCCUCCCCACACCUAUCUUCUUGGAAGGAGCUGGAUGUCGCUGAAGCAAAGUUGAAAAAUGAAAAAGGAUAACCUUUUCCCUUUCCCCAUCCAGGAAAUAGCUGAAGGUAUUUAUAUAUCUCGGGGAGAUUUAGAGUAUAAACUCUAAGAUCUUUGGUAUUUAAGUGUCAACAUCGAUUUAUUUAUUUAUUGCUGAGCUGACUGUAACUGACUCAAUAACAAAUCUAAUCAUGUAUUGCACUGGAAAAGAACUAUUCUCAUUAUGUGUUUUCUCCAAAUGAUGGCCCACCGUUGCAUUUGAAUACCUGCUGUAAAUAUCAAUAAUAUCGAGUAAUUACUCUGCAGUGGAGUAAACUAAUUUAUUGGCAUUAAUGUUUAUGUGGCUCCUACCCCCUUCCUUUACAAGGGUUGCUUAUCACAAAUCAAACUAGUCGGACACAUUGGUUUAAUGAACUCUUUAUUCAGGAUUUGCUGCAAGAACUUUCAUACCCCUUGAAUCCCUAAGAGUUGAACUUGAAAUUAUUUGUGCAUCUUCAGCUUGACAUAUUCGUCCACUGUGGCUUGUGCACUGUGCAGAGGGCAGCAGUGGUGUGAGUGAGGUCUGGUGGGAAGGAAGGUUAUUGGGGAAAGGCAGCUUGAGACCUCCUAAAGCUGGGAAUCGCAGUUACGGGAUUGCCCUGCAGCGAAAAAACUUCGAUUUCCAGCAGUGACCAACAAGGCAAAAUAUUUAUUUCUCCACAGCAUCUCUUUCUUGGAGACAGAAUAUAAAAGGGAGAAGGAGAGGUUUGCGAACAGUAGUGUUUGAGCCAUUCCCGGACUUGAUUUUGGCUCUCUGAAACUAUCUCCCAGUAGCCCACCCAGUCCCCCGCCACCCCGACCCUCGAACAAAAGGAAUGCUUGAGGGGUUUCAGUGACUUUGCUAUAACAAAGGCGCCACCAUUUCAGGGCUUGCCCCGCCCCUGGGUGAAGGCAAACAAAUUCUUGCACUUGUAUUAGGGCUUUUAAGACUAUAAUUGAACCCGGGGGCGUCUAGGAGAACCGAAAACAGUUCUAGACAGACCUGGGGUUUUAUAGCAGUUUUGGCAGUCAACUUCAGCUUGUGCCUGAGCAGACCGGCUGCGGUGGCCCGCCAGCCGGGGACGCCAGGCUACCUCCCCCAGCUGCACGCAGCCCCUCUCCUAAUUAGAUCGGCUUUCCCCUUAGUGCCAGGGAGAGGGGGUACCGGCAGAAAGGUCAGAAUGGGGAUAUACACUGUUCUGCGUAAUCAAUGCCUCCUGUGUCCCUGAGAGCCAAGCCGAGAGGGUGCCAGCAGGUCUGGAUCCCAUGGGUAUCUGUAGGAGACAAAGGCAAAUUUCCGAGAAGAGGCUGGGUUGGAGGAAGGCUCUCCCAAAGCAGCUGGCAGGGUAAUUCAAGAAGGCUGUACCGAUGCGGGGUGCCGGGAGGGACACACAGCCCGGAAGAGGGUAUGUUGGGGUGCUGCAGCAAAGAUGGAUGAGGGGAAAGGCUUUUGAUGCCAGGAGAAGAGAAAAUGCCUGGAGUGGCGAAUGUUUUUACUUCCCCAGCAGCGACAGGAGGGGGUGCUCAGAUCCCCAAGGCCUCGGACUUUUCCCAGCUUCGCCCGCUCCUGCCCCUCUUGCCCAGAAUAUACUGGCAGUGUGAAUGUUUGCGGGGGUGGGAGGGAAUAGUUGGGGGUGGGCGCAGAUUGGAGCAUCAGACGAAAUCUGGGCAAGCAGGGGAGGCACAGCUGCAGGUACUUGGUUUUGACUUUGCUUUGAGCCUAACUGACUCUUCCGCUUUGCAGGAGGCCCUACAGCCGAACUGAGCCCACCCUGCUCAGGGGAAGACCUGACGGGUGCUAAGGCCACCUGGAAUGCCAAGUCCGAGUUGUAUUUCUUAAAGAGAUCGAGUGGAUGAGGCUGUGACAUUGGCCCCUGCCGACUGGUUUCCCACGAGCUGUUCUUUCUCAGGAGCUCCACAAAGCGGAGCCAUCUCCAGAAAGCAAUCUUCAGCAUGUAUUUCCUUUUAUCCUCAACCCAGAGCCCCACGGCAGCUAAUGCAAAAGGCCAAAAAUGUUUUGGAGGAAGAAAAACAAAGGCAGGAAGUGGCGGCGGCCUGACGGUGCGUGUGUGUCUGCGGAGAAGGGAGGGAGCCGUUUCAAUCUCUUCUUGUUGUUUUUCCAAACUUCAAGGUCUAGGCAGCCCUCGCAGGGCCGGGCCCUUUCGUUCCCCAAGCCACGUUUGGAGAUGGCCACCCGGAGAGGAGAAGGCUGGCGCCCCCGCGUCAGCGUGGUCAGGCGGAAACGGCUAACGAGGCGAUUUGCUCAGCAAAGCAGACCGAGCCUUUGCAAGGCUCCGUGUGAUUUGGCCUUAAAUGGGGGGGGUGGGGGGUGGGGGUUGAGGGGUUCGGCAGCACCUCCCGGAUCCUCCUGCUGGGG